UUCACUUCCCUUUGCCAAGUUACCAAAACCAAACUAAGCCUUAAAAUAAAGGAGUAUUGGUUGGUAGGGAAGAAAGAACCGCACCAUUUUUUGCUUUUGCCAGACACGGUUCACCAGAUUGUGAUGACCUCGGUCUUUAAAAAUUCUCUUGGUCUUGUGCAGCCAGAACCUAACUAUUCUCUCUCAUCAUCCAUCAAAUUGCCAUUUCCGAGCAUCCUUUUUUGCUUGGAAGGAUGUCAAGCUAUACAGUUGAGUCCUCCACAGUAGAAACCAAUGAUGGAGUGAAGCUCCAGACAAGGGUCUUCAAGCCCAAAGAAGAUGAGAUCAAAGACAAAUUGGUUAUUGUUCUUGUCCACCCAUAUUCAGUUUUGGGUGGUUGUCAAGCUCUUCUAAAAGGAAUUGCAAUUGGGUUGGCACAGAAAGGUUACACGGCUGUCACUUUUGACAUGAGAGGUGCUGGGAGGUCCACAGGGAAGCCUUCUCUUACCGGGUUUUCUGAAGUCAAGGAUGUCAUCGCUGUCUGCAAAUGGGUUUGUGAAAAUCUAUCAACUGACAAGAUUUUGUUGGUGGGUUCCUCUGCAGGUGCACCAAUUUCAGGAUCUGCAGUAGAUGAGAUUAACGAAGUGGUUGGAUAUGUAAGUCUAGGAUAUCCUUUCGGCAUGAUGGCCUCAAUCCUUUUUGGGCGACAUCACAAAGCCAUCUUACAGACUCCAAAACCAAAACUCUUUGUAAUGGGAACCCGGGAUGGUUUUACCAGCGUUAAGCAGCUGCAGAAAAAGCUGAGCUCAGCUGCGGGACGCGUUGAGACGCAUCUAAUUGAAGGAGCAGGACACUUCCAAAUGGAAGGCCCUGCUUAUGAUGCUCAGAUGGUGAACCUUAUCCUUACGUUCAUUGCAUCUUUAUAGGACUAUUAUGUAGUCUCUGAGAUGACGUUCAAUGCAUCUACAUAGGACUUCAUAGGAUGAGUGAAAAUAGAACCACCAUUCCAGCGAAUGUGGCCUCUAAACCAAAUAUUAUAGCACAAGGGAAAGCAAAUUUUAAAGAGACCUUUGCACAGGCAAAUGUCAUUCACUGUGAACAUAAUUUACACAAGUAUUUUCCAACAUCCAAUGAAAUCAAAAUUACAACGGAA